rnacentral:tmRNA from 23 species
GGGGGCGUUUUUGGAUUCGACGGGGAUAGUUCGAGCAUGGGUAGCGGGUAGUGGGGACGCGUCCGCUUUAUCAACGCUAACGCCAAAUUUAAACGGCAAACAACAAAACAACUACGCUUUAGCAGCUUAAUAACCUGCUUGCGUGCUCCUGCUUUGCAUCGCCCAUGUGCCAAGUUAGGGGCUCAACUUUAGUGGGCUACGCUGUCUAGUCUCCGCCUGAGGCUAGCUGAAGAAGACAAUCAGGCUGACCUGUGAGAAAGCCGGUUACGGGGCGGGCUUACAGGUGACAUUAAAACCGUGACUACACCCGUAGAAGCCUAUGUGGCGUUAUCUUUGGACACGGGUUCGACUCCCGUCGCCUCCAUAU